rnacentral:rRNA from 1 species
CGAUAAGCCCAGAUUAGGUAGUAACAACCAUUUGAGUCUGGGAUUUCUGAAUGGGGAAACCCACGUGCAUAAGCACGUAUCCUUACCUGAAUACAUAGGGUAAGGAGGCGAACCGGGGGAACUGAAACAUCUAAGUACCCCGAGGAAAAGAAAUCAACCGAGAUUCCGAAAGUAGCGGCGAGCGAAAUUGGACUAGCCCUUAAGCUUUACACGCGUUAGACGAACGGUCUGGAAAGUCCGACGAUACAGGGUGAUAGUCCCGUAGUUGACGACGUGUGUUCAGUGAAAUCGAGUAGGGCGGGACACGUGAUAUCCUGUCUGAAUAUGGGGGGACCAUCCUCCAAGGCUAAAUACUACUGACUGACCGAUAGUGAACCAGUACCGUGAGGGAAAGGCGAAAAGAACCCCUGUGAGGGGAGUGAAAUAGAACCUGAAACCGUGUACGUACAAGCAGUAGGAGCAGGCUUUGUCCUGUGACUGCGUACCUUUUGUAUAAUGGGUCAGCGACUUAUAUUCAGUGGCAAGGUUAACCAUCUAGGGGAGCCGUAGGGAAACCGAGUCUUAACUGGGCGUUCAGUCUCUGGAUAUAGACCCGAAACCAGGUGAUCUAGCCAUGGGCAGGUUGAAGGUUGAGUAACAUCAACUGGAGGACCGAACCGACUAAUGUUGAAAAAUUAGCGGAUGACUUGUGGCUAGGGGUGAAAGGCCAAUCAAACCUGGAGAUAGCUGGUUCUCCCCGAAAGCUAUUUAGGUAGCGCCUCGGACGAAUACUACUGGGGGUAGAGCACUGUUAAGGCUAGGGGGUCAUCCCGACUUACCAACCCUUUGCAAACUCCGAAUACCAGUAAGUACUAUCCGGGAGACACACGGCGGGUGCUAACGUCCGUCGUGGAGAGGGAAACAACCCAGACCGCCAGCUAAGGUCCCAAAUUACUACUAAGUGGGAAACGAUGUGGGAAGGCUCAGACAGCCAGGAUGUUGGCUUAGAAGCAGCCAUCAUUUAAAGAAAGCGUAAUAGCUCACUGGUCGAGUCGGCCUGCGCGGAAGAUGUAACGGGGCUAAGUAGUAAACCGAAGCUGCGGCAAUGUGCUUUUGCACAUUGGGUAGGGGAGCGUUCUGUAAGCGGUUGAAGGUGUGUGGUAACGCAUGCUGGACGUAUCAGAAGUGCGAAUGCUGACAUGAGUAACGAUAAAGGGGGUGAAAAACCUCCUCGCCGGAAGACCAAGGGUUCCUGUCCAACGUUAAUCGGGGCAGGGUAAGUCGACCCCUAAGGCGAGGCCGAAAGGCGUAGUCGAUGGGAAACGGGUUAAUAUUCCCGUACUUCUUACAAUUGCGAUGGGGGGACGGAGAAGGCUAGGUGGGCCUGGCGACGGUUGUCCAGGUUCAAGUGCGUAGGCUUAAGAGUUAGGUAAAUCCGGCUCUUUUUAAGGCUGAGACACGACGUCGAGCAUCUACGGAUGUGAAGUCAUUGAUGCCAUGCUUCCAGGAAAAGCCUCUAAGCUUCAGAUUGUAAGGAAUCGUACCCCAAACCGACACAGGUGGUCGGGUAGAGAAUACCAAGGCGCUUGAGAGAACUCGGGUGAAGGAACUAGGCAAAAUGGUACCGUAACUUCGGGAGAAGGUACGCUCUCGACGGUGAAGUCCCUCGCGGAUGGAGCUAUUGAGAGUCGCAGAUACCAGGUGGCUGCAACUGUUUAUUAAAAACACAGCACUGUGCAAAAUCGUAAGAUGACGUAUACGGUGUGACGCCUGCCCGGUGCCGGAAGGUUAAUUGAUGGGGUUAGACUUCGGUCGAAGCUCUUGAUCGAAGCCCCGGUAAACGGCGGCCGUAACUAUAACGGUCCUAAGGUAGCGAAAUUCCUUGUCGGGUAAGUUCCGACCUGCACGAAUGGCGUAAUGAUGGCCACGCUGUCUCCACCCGAGACUCAGUGAAAUUGAAAUCGCUGUGAAGAUGCAGUGUACCCGCGGCUAGACGGAAAGACCCCGUGAACCUUUACUACAGCUUGGCACUGAACAUUGACCCUACAUGUGUAGGAUAGGUGGGAGGCUUUGAAGCACGUACGCCAGUAUGUGUGGAGCCGUCCUUGAAAUACCACCCUUGUAGUGUUGAUGUUCUAACGUCGACCCCUUAUCGGGGUUGCGGACAGUGCCUGGUGGGUAGUUUGACUGGGGCGGUCUCCUCCCAAAGAGUAACGGAGGAGCACGAAGGUGGGCUAAUCACGGUUGGACAUCGUGAGGUUAGUGCAAUGGCAUAAGCCCGCUUGACUGCGAGAAUGACAAUUCGAGCAGGUGCGAAAGCAGGUCAUAGUGAUCCGGUGGUUCUGAAUGGAAGGGCCAUCGCUCAACGGAUAAAAGGUACUCCGGGGAUAACAGGCUGAUACCGCCCAAGAGUUCAUAUCGACGGCGGUGUUUGGCACCUCGAUGUCGGCUCAUCACAUCCUGGGGCUGAAGUCGGUCCCAAGGGUAUGGCUGUUCGCCAUUUAAAGUGGUACGCGAGCUGGGUUUAGAACGUCGUGAGACAGUUCGGUCCCUAUCUGCCGUGGGCGUUGGAAGAUUGAAGGGGGCUGCUCCUAGUACGAGAGGACCGGAGUGGACGAACCUCUGGUGUUCGGGUUGUGUCGCCAGACGCAUUGCCCGGUAGCUAAGUUCGGAAUCGAUAACCGCUGAAAGCAUCUAAGCGGGAAGCGAGCCCUGAGAUGAGUCUUCCCUGAUACUUUAAGUAUCCUAAAGGGUUGUCGGAGACUACGACGUUGAUAGGUCAGGUGUGUAAGUGCUGUGAGGCAUUGAGCUAACUGAUACUAAUUGCCCGUGAGGCUUAACCAUACAACACCCAAGGGGUUU